GCCAGGCUCAGAGGACAAAAAGCAUGUGGUCCUAGUCCCAGCUACUUGGGGGCCUGAGGCAGAAGGAUCACUUGAGCCCAGGAGUCCUGGACUGUAAUUUGCGAUGUUGACUGGCUUUAUAACUUUAUAAUCACUAACUUUAUAAUCAAUAUGGUGACCUCCCGGGAGUGAGGGACCAACAGGUUGCCUAUGGAGGGGUGAACUAGACCAGGUUGGAAAUAGAUUUGGUCAAAACUCCUGUGCCGAUAAGUAGUGGGAUUGCCCCUGUGGAUAACCAUUGCAAUCCAACCUGGGCAACAUAGUGAGACCUCACU
rnacentral:SRP_RNA from 1 species